ACGGAAGGCAGCAGUGGGGAAUAUUGCACAAUGGGCGAAAGCCUGAUGCAGCGACGCCGCGUGAGUGAAGAAGUAUCUCGGUAUGUAAAGCUCUAUCAGCAGGGAAGAAAAUGACGGUACCUGACUAAGAAGCCCCGGCUAACUACGUGCCAGCAGCCGCGGUAAUACGUGGGGGGCAAGCGUUAUCCGGAUUUACUGGGUGUAAAGGGAGCGUAGACGGUUUGGCAAGUCUGAAGUGAAAUGCGGGGGCUCAACUCCUGAACUGCUUUGGAAACUGUCGAACUAGAGUGCAGGAGAGGUAAGUGGAAUUCCUAGUGUAGCGGUGAAAUGCGUAGAUAUUAGGAGGAACACCAGUGGCGAAGGCGGCUUACUGGACUGUAACUGACGUUGAGGCUCGAAAGCGUGGGGAGCAAACAGGAUUAGAUACCCUGGUA
rnacentral:rRNA from 2 species